AAAAGAAUACAUCUGCAGUUGAGACUACUGAUGUUGAGGAGCUUGAGAGGAUUGAAUUUGAAAGACGUGCAGCUGCAUGGGAAGAAGCUGAAAAUUCUAAACAUACAGCAAGGUUCUUUCCAUGACCUUGGUACCCUUGAACUAAAUUAAAAGCGAUAUUCAUGAGAAUAUAUAGAGCAGUUCGAGUAUCUUUUUGCUAUAAGAUAAUAUUCCUGUGUUUUGAUCUGACAAAGUGUGCUUGAACCUUUCAGAUAUAAACGUGAAGAAAUCAAAAUUCAAGCAUGGGAAAGUCAG
rnacentral:misc_RNA from 1 species